rnacentral:rRNA from 1 species
CACUGUGUGUUGUUGGGUAGGGGAGCGUUCUGUAAGCCUGUGAAGGUGGCCUGUGAGGGUUGCUGGAGGUAUCAGAAGUGCGAAUGCUGACAUAAGUAACGAUAAAGCGGGUGAAAAGCCCGCUCGCCGGAAGACCAAGGGUUCCUGUCCAACGUUAAUCGGGGCAGGGUGAGUCGACCCCUAAGGCGAGGCCGAAAGGCGUAGUCGAUGGGAAACGGGUUAAUAUUCCCGUACUUGGUGUUACUGCGAAGGGGGGACGGAGAAGGCUAUGUUGGCCGGGCGACGGUUGUCCCGGUUUAAGCGUGUAGGUGUGUGUUCCAGGUAAAUCCGGUUCACUUUAACACUGAGGCGUGAC